UACGAAGGGUGCAAGCGUUAAUCGGAAUUACUGGGCGUAAAGCGUGCGUAGGCGGUUUGUUAAGUCUGUUGUGAAAUCCCCGGGCUCAACCUGGGAAUGGCAAUGGAUACUGGCAAGCUAGAGUGUGAUAGAGGAUGGUGGAAUUCCCGGUGUAGCGGUGAAAUGCGUAGAGAUCGGGAGGAACAUCAGUGGCGAAGGCGGCCAUCUGGAUCAACACUGACGCUGAGGCACGAAAGCGUGGGGAGCAAAC
rnacentral:rRNA from 1 species